UACGUAGGUGGCAAGCGUUGUCCGGAUUUACUGGGCGUAAAGAGCGCGCAGGCGGUCGUGCAAGUCGCGUGUGAAAGCCCCCGGCUCAACUGGGGAGGGUCACGCGAUACUGCUCGACUUGAAGGCAGGAGAGGGAAGUGGAAUUCCCGGUGUAGUGGUGAAAUGCGUAGAUAUCGGGAGGAACACCAGUGGCGAAGGCGGCCCCCUGGGCUGGUACUGACGCUGAUGCGCGAAAGCGUGGGUAGCAAACGGG
rnacentral:rRNA from 1 species